UUUUCCAAGUCCCUACCUGGUCGGAGGGGUUGCCUUCCUCCGAGCAGCGUCUUCGACCUGUCCUCGCGGCCUACCAGCGGGUCCUGGAGCGACGUUUUCCUGAGGGGCCUGCCCAGAACAUCGGCUUUGGUGGCGGCGCAGAACAUCGGCUUUGGCGGCGGCGCGGCGCUGGAGCGCUGUCGUGGAGCGGGCGAUGCCUUUCCUGGGUCGCCGCGCUGGAACUCCAGUAUGCUGGGACUGCCGAAAACAUCAUCGGUGAGCCGCGGUUCUGCGGAGCGGCCAGCUGCGACGCUGAACUUUACAUCCCGGAGCCUGGGAUCUCUCGCAGAGAUCGCCAGUGUGUGGAGCUCCGUCCGGCGCGGUCAGGUUGGCUUGGAAGCCGCGGGCUCCGUUGGGAAGGUGGCCGUUCCUGGCACCCCAAGCCGCUGGGGGUUCUCCCGACGCCGGAGUACCAUCACCCGGCGAGAACAUCGGGCGCCGUGGCGGUGACUGUGGAGUCCUCAAUAGGCCCGACUUUGGGUGGACAAGAGGAUGGGGACUGAACUUUGUGCCUUCCCCCACAGUGGGAAUCACUGUGGGGGGAUGUUUUAUGUUUGGUGUUGAAUUUCUUCAUGAAUACUUUGUUGUAUUUUUUAUUAGUGUGCUGCAAGGACAUCAGAAUUUCCCCUUGGGGAUUAAUAAAGUUUAUUCAAUUCAAGUUGGAUUGCAGAUAGAUAAUACCUCGGUGGUGGCAUAUAUAAGUCAUAUGGGUGGAAAUAUAUCAACAUCUUGUGAUGAAUUGGCAAACUCAAUUUGGCUAUGGUGUGUCCAAAGGACUAUUUGGUUAUGGGCUACGUAUCUACCAGGGAUACUAAUUUAGUGGCAGACACCAGGUCACAAAAAUUUAAUGAAAGUACUGAAUGGAAGUUGGAUAGAACGGUAUUUUCUGAAAUCACAGUAAAGUAUGGAAGGCCGGGUAUUAGAUUUGCAUCCAGGUUUUAAAUCACCAGUUACCGAGGUAUGUAUCAUUGGAACCAGAUCCUGGGGCAGAAGGUACAGAUGCAUUUUCACUGAACUGGGGGAAAUGGUUCAUUUAUGCAUUUCUUCCUUUUUUCUGCCUAAUCAAUCGGGCACUAAGGGAAAUUCAACAGGAAUCGGCAUCUGAGAUUUUCUUAGUACCUGAUUGGCUUACCUAACCAUGGGUUUCCGUGGUACAGGACAUGGUGUGGGAACCAUGUAUAACUUUAAGACAUAGUCCUAAGUUACUGGUGCAUCCAGUAACUCAGGAUAGCUAUCCAUGCCAUAGAAAAUAUUGAAUUAUUGGGUUGUAGACUCUCGCCAAGGGGCAUGGGGCUAUCAAAAGAACUGUGGACAUGAUCACAGCAGCACAAAGAAGGUCUACACAAAAACAGUAUUUAGGUCAUAUUAAAAAAUGGACUAAUUACUGCCAUAAUAACUAUCUGGACCACAGAAAUAAGGAUGUUCCGGCGGUGCUAGAAGUUUUCUCACCAGCCUGCACUAUGAAGGACUUAGUUACAGCACUGUGAAUAGUGCCAGAAGUGCAUUGUCAAGUUAUUUGUGGCAAGGAACAGAAAGACAGUCUGUGGGAUCACAUCCUCUGGUAGUUAAACUUUUAAGAGGCAAUUUUAACACCAAGCCACCCAAAACAAGAUAUAACAAAUCUGGGAGGUAAGUGUGGUCCUGACUAUGCUAAGGAAUUGGUCGCCGGGCUACAGCAUUAAAUCUGGAUAAACUAACUAAGAAAUGGUAAUGCUGAUGGCGCUAGGCACAGCACAAAGGGUCCAGUUAUUGCAAAAAAGUAAGACUGGAUGGCUUCACUAUGGCGGCAGGAAGUUUGGUUUCUGUUAUCCAGGACCGUGUUAUUAAACAUAAUAGACCAGGAUCAGCGGGGCAGGUCAUAGAAUUUAUGGCCUACCCGGAGGACAAACGCCUCUGUAUAGUGAAGCACGUUUUGUUAUACAGUGAAAGGACAAAGGCUAUCAGAGGCAAGGGAAUGGCGUUUAAUCAGCUAUAAGAAACCGUACCGUAGUGUAAAUUCAGACCAUUUCACGGUGGCUGAAAUAUGGGUUACGAUAGGCGGGAGUGGACACUAACAUAUUUAAAUCUCACUCCACCAGGGCUGCAGCUACAUCCGCAGCAAAACGCCUUGAUGUAUCCAUGGACCAAAUCCUCAGGAUUGCAGGAUGGUUGUCGGAGAAAACGUUUUUUCAGAAAUGUUAUAACAAACCAGUUAGCAGUAUGGGAACGUUUUCGGGGAACAUUUUAAGUUCUGUAUGAUAAUUUAUCCAUGAAGAAUACGGGGUUAUGAUUUGAAUUAAUUAGAUAUUAUUUAUCAUUUCCAUUAAAUAAUUGGUAUGAAUGUUUUGAAUAUCAUUAACAAUUUCUCCCAAACUACCAAGGCAGUUGUGAAGCAUGGACUCGUUCCACGGCAUGAGGUCACAGAGCUUUGAAAUCUUCACGUAGUCACUCACGUGACUCCGAAGUAAAAUAGUAAGAUUAAACGAGAACUUACCAGUUUGAAGUUUGAUCUGUAUUUUAUGAGGAGGAACGUUGAGGGAAUACGUGCCCUCCGCUCCCACCCUCGUAUGGUCAUAUCUUAAACUGGUAUCUCUUUAAUAAUCUUACUAUUUUAGGUCAUUAUAGUGUAUCUGUGACCUCACACCGCUGCUUUGAAGGAUGACACGCAUGCGUCGUACGCGGGCUUCUUCACGUAUUCCCUCAACGUUCCUCCUCAUAAAAUACAGAUCAAACUUCAAACUGGUAAGUUCUCAUUUAAUCUUACUAUUUUGUGUAAAAUAAUUAUAUAAAUCACCCCUGAAACUCGUCAUGAAAAAGAUUUUGACAUUAUUUUAAAUUAAAUUAGAGAAAAAACGGAAAAUCUUCCAAUAAAAAGCACAUUUAACAUUGAGGUGUCUGCCAGUUGGCCAAUCAUGCGCUUUGCUUCAGGCUAGCACACAAAAUGGCUGAGGGUGCCUCGUCAGAUGCCCGUUGUACUGGAGAUUCAGAUUGGUUAUUCUGUGGAAUACAUGUCGUGGAAACUUGCAGCUUGUAAUUGAAUUUAGUGAGAAAAGCAUUAAAAAGUCUGAAGAAUGUGCUGCUAAGUGGAUGGAAGUGGAAGAAAGCCUUGAAAGCAACGUCACCACUGAGGUGCUCCAACACAAAGAAGACAACCAGGAAUCAAAUCUAACUGAAAGGUAAGAUCUAAAGUCUGAAUUUAUGAAAAUCUAUCUGCAUGGACUUUAAUGAAUUUAAUUGCACCCUUUUAUAAUGAGAAUAAAUUCAUUUAUGCACUUACUCAUUCAAUCAUACAUUCAAUCAUUCAUUCAAUCAUGCAUUCAUGCAUGGAGGGCCUAAACUAUAUGUUUCCAUAACACAGUCAAUUAAACAUUGUCACUAAUGCCAGCUUGUUGUAGAGUAAUAUGUCUUUAACAGCUAAUCUCAGAGCUGCCUGCGAUAACUUACCGGGAAAAAGUGUUCCAACCGCGGGGCCUAGGUACAUAAUAUAGUGAAGCCGCGGUCUCAAUUGAAGUCCAUGCAGACCUAAGUAAUAUGAGGUUUUUCUUUUCUGCAGCUUCUGCCCCUCCACUCUUCAGAGCCAGUCCAGACAAAAAUGUUUUGUGUGGACAUGCACUGUGCUUUAAUGAACACUAAUUUGAUAAUUUACAGACUUGCCAUCCCAUCUACCUGGACAUGCGUACAUGUUUAAUUUCCUCAUUGAUAUGUCGAUAUUGUCUUACAUACUAUAAAACAUGAAAAGAUGUAAAAUACACACUGACACAUAUUAUCUUCUAUUAUUAGGAGGCAGCAGUGUAUCCCGGGUUAUCAUGCAGAGUGCUAUCGUCACUUCUGCAACAUAACAACAAUAAAUCGAGCGAUAGCAAAGUCUAGAAGGAUGAAAGAUGGAUUUCCUCGGCCUGCCAGCUGAUGCAGAAAAAUCGUUCCAAAUUCCGUUCUCGGAAGUUAAAAAAAAAAUUGGGGGACAACUUCAUCGCUGGUGUAAAAUAAAAAAGCGACUUCUAACGCCCUCAACGCCUACAAUGGGACGGAUCUCACGUAUGGGACAAAACACGGGGUAAGUUGUUUAUUUUACGUAUAAACUUGCUUCUUAGGGCGACUUUAAUCAAAUUUCCUUGCCGAAAAUGUGAUUUUGCCUCCAUUUAAACCAGCAGUGUUUUUCCUGCCGAUAUGGGGUUCAAAUUCACUGCCACCGCAACAGUCCAAUCGAUCGCGUUCCACAAAAACCCACUCGCAAGGUGAUUUAAAAGUCCAUUAAUUUACGGGAAUUAAACAUUAAAUUCCUUCCAUUUGGCCUAUAAAUUCAUGACAAUGAGAUUUAAAAAUCAUGUUAUAUUGUGAUUUCUUGUGUGAAUGUUAUUUGGACACUUAGACUAUUUAAAAAUGUUAACCUUUUCUUAUGAAAUGGAUAGAUGUUUAGAUCUAGUAAUUGAAUUUUGUAAUUAGCUACAAUUAGGUAACUAACUAAUUAUAUGCUUUAAUUUCAGGUCAUAAUAAUAAUAAUAAUAAUAAUAAAUAUUAUUUGUGGGUGCCUUUCAAAAGUCUCAAGGACACCUUACAGAAUUUAACAAGAGUAAAAAACAUAUAAUCGGAGUAAAAUAAAUAAUAAAGACAUCACCAAUACACAAAUUAAAGACAGAAUUCAAUGCAAAGACAAAAAAAUCAAAAACACUAUGUGAAGAGAGAGCAGCGGCAGCUAAACCGCGCCAGCGUACACUCUCCCUUCCGACAGCCAUCUUGGACACAAACUAAAAUAAUCACUUACACACAAAAAUCAUCCCCCCACAAUGGUUACCACUGUGGGGGAAGGCACAAUAUCCAGUCCCCAUCCCCAGUUCUCCCAAAGUCAGCCCUAUUGAGGCCUCCGCUAUUGCCUCUAUGGAGGCCCGAUGUUCCUGGCCGUUCUCGCCGGGUGCUGUUGCCCCGGCGUCGGGAGAGUCCUCUCAGUGGCUGGGCCACCUGGAACGUCCGCUUCCUUACCAGAGACCGCGGCUUCCGAAGUCGACAAGGCCGCCCCGGUUUGGAGCUCCCAAUAUCCCGAUGUUGAAAUCAGCGGUGCCCACUCCGCUCCGCAGACCCGCAGCCCAGAGGUGUUGAACUCGGCGGUCACAGCUCACCAGAGCUCCAGCGCGUCGAUCCAGCGCGGCGACCCAGGCAAGGCAUUGCCCGCUCCGCUCCACGAUAGCGCACCAGCGCUGUGCCGCCACCGAAGCCGAGGUGCUGGGCGGUCCCCGCCAGGAAAAGGCACUCCGCGCCCGCUGGUAGACCACGAGGACAGGUCGACGGGGCAGCCCGGAUAAAAAGCUGCCUCACCGACCAGGUAGGGACCUAGGUCAUCCAAGUAAGAUUGUUUCAUAUUUGUUACAGAAUGCUUCAAUCUAUAAUAACUGAAAAUUUCUUUCAGUUCUCUUAAUUUUUAAGAAAGUUAACGGCUUUUGACUGUCCUAGAUCACAGCUUUUGUGUUAAGUCAAUGGAAAAGCAAUAGGGAACAAGAUGCUAAUUUCCGAGUAUGAAAAUGGCCAUAACUCUUUUAAUACUGAAGAUAACAAAGUGAAUUAGGUGUCAAAUUAAACUUCGUUUUAUGCUUUAUCUGAUGGGAUAAAUUGCAGACUUGAUUUUUUAAAUCUCAAACUUUUGUAACAUUGCUACACCAAGUGAGUUUCUCACCACAAUGAUACCAAUAGCUCAUAAAACCUCAAAUGUGGCACCAAUUUUCAAGAAGGAAGAAAUGCAAAAGGUACUACACAAAAAAGCUGGAGAAACUCAGCGGGUGCAGCAGCAUCUAUGGAGCGAAGGAAAUAGGCAACGUUUCGGGCCGAAACCCUUCUUCAGACUGAUCGGAGGCGGGGUUGGGCGGGGACAAGAAAGGAAAAAGGAGGAGGAGCCCGAAGGCUGGGGGAUGGGAGGAGACAGCAGGGGGACUGAGGAAGGGGAGGAGACAGCAAGGACUAACAAAAUUGGGAGAAUUCGAUGUUCAUGCCCCCAGGAUGCAGACUCCCCAAACGGAAUAUGAGGUGCUGUUCCUCCAAUUUCCGGUGCUGCUCGCUGUGGCCAUGGAGGAGACCCAGAACAGAGAGGUCGGAGACGCAGUGGGAGGGGGAGUUGAAGUGCUGAGCCACCGGGAGGUCAGCUUGGUUAUUGCGGACCGAGCGGAGGUGUUCGGUGUUCACCGAUAUAGAUUCAGUAUUAAAAUGCAAAAGGUACUGUUGGCUUAACAUUGGUUGAUGGCAAGAUGGUGACAGUGGAGUUUAUAAUCAAUUGGAGAAGUCUAGUGUAAUAUGCAAGUUCGAUAUUCCGACUGCACAUGCCCAGGUCAUAGGUCAUUCGUGAUAAGCAUUCUUGGCAACUGUGCUGCUGUGUUGUGUGCAAGCCUGCGAUUUGUCCGUGGUGGGGGUCGGGCCUGGGUCCCCGGCAUUGCAGGCGCUGUUAAGUUGCUGCUGGGCCGUCCCCAUCCCUUCCCAGGUGUCCCGUCCAUGUCCGUGGGCGACUGGAGGUGUCCGAGGUUGUCCUGGGUUGGCGGGG